rnacentral:rRNA from 1 species
CCUACGGGAGGCAGCAGUGAGGAAUAUUGGUCAAUGGGCUUACGCCUGAACCAGCCAAGUCGCGUGAGGGAAGACUGCCCUAUGGGUUGUAAACCUCUUUUGUCAGGGAGCAACGCCGGCUACGUGUAGCCGGACUGAGAGUACCUGAAGAAAAAGCAUCGGCUACCUCCGUGCCAGCAGCCGCGGUAAUACGGAGGAUGCGAGCGUUAUCCGGAUUUAUUGGGUUUAAAGGGUGCGUAGGCGGAAUGCCAAGUCAGCGGUAAAAUCGCGGGGCUCAACCUCGCUCCGCCGUUGAAACUGGCGGUCUUGAGUGGGCGAGAAGUAGGCGGAAUGCGUGGUGUAGCGGUGAAAUGCAUAGAUAUCACGCAGAACUCCGAUUGCGAAGGCAGCAUACCGGCGCCCAACUGACGCUGAAGCACGAAAGCGUGGGUAUCGAACAGGAUUAGAUACCCCAGUAGUC